UACGAAGGGGGCUAGCGUUGCUUCGGAAUGACUGGGCGUAAAGGGCGCGUAGGCGGCUUGCACAGAUCCAGGCGUGAAAAUUCCUGGGCUCAACCUGGGGACUGCGCUUGAGACGUGUGGGCUUGAGUGGGGAAGAGGGUCGUGGAAUUCCCAGUGUAGAGGUGAAAUUCGUAAGAUAUUGGGAAGAACACCUGUGGGCGAAAGCGGCUCACUGGACCAUUACUGACGCUGAGGCACGAAAGCAUAGGGGAGCAAACAGGAUUCAGAA
rnacentral:rRNA from 1 species